AAGUCGUAACAAGGUUUCCGUAGGUGAACCUGCGGAAGGAUCAUUAAAGAAUAUCGAGCCUCACAGCUCUUAUUCUCAGCCCACGUUUGUAUACCAAACUUUGCUUGCUUUGGCAGCCCUUUUAGGGCCUGCCUAGAGGACCGAAACCCUAGAAUCUCUGCCGUCUGAGUAUUAUAUAAUAGCUUAAAA
rnacentral:misc_RNA from 1 species